rnacentral:rRNA from 1 species
GGAUGCGAUCAUACCAGCACUAAUGCACCGGAUCCCAUCAGAACUGCAGCAGUUAAGCGCGCUUGGGCGAGAGUAGCACUAGGAUGGGUGACCUCCCGGGAAGUCCUCGUGUUGCAUCCC